AACAGAUGGAGCACUGCUUCGGGUUCUCACGCAAGUUAAAAAAAAGAUUGAGAAUAAAAGAAGUUGGAGAACCAUCCAGAAAUCGCUUUUAUCUGUCCUGGAUUCUCGUACUGGAAAUCCUUUCUUGGUCAGGUCUUUUCAUGAGGCGAGCAGAAGUCCCAGAAGCUCCAGUCCUUGAAUCAUGAGCCUUCCAAGGAAUAGUGAACCUCCACCACAGCAUUCCGGAAGCCUGUGGUAGGAUUGUGUCAGUUGAACAAACCGGCACCAACAAGAUUUUCCUUUUCGACUAUUUACCCUUGACUUUGACUAUCCCCCUUUGACUUGACUCAAAUUCUGGAUUGAACUCGGGGAUUCUUGAGGACGACUCCCAAGGAACAUUUUCAAAAAGGACAUUUUAUGUUAUUCUAAAUUUAAUUUGGGCCCAUAGGUAGUGUGCAUACAAUUGUUGUAAAGUGUUUGAACUAUUUUGUUGAACUAAAGAAUUUACACAUUUCAAAACGUUAUUACUGUACUUCUCAGCUCCUACGAACCUAGGGUGUACAUACUCUGAAGUGGGUUACACUUUCACACAAAAUGCAGUCAAUGCUUUCUAAAUAAGGUGUUGCCAGUGUUUUGGUCCAACGUGCUUAUUUUGAGACAUGCAUGAAGUGUUUUGGUUGUAUAAGUGAGUGUUGGAGGUGAGAUGAACGGCUUGGCCAAGAUGCAUGUUGGUAGUGCAGACUGAAUAAAGAGUUCCGAAAAAGUG